CCUACGAGUGGCAGCAGUGAGGAAUAUUGGUCAAUGGCCGUAAGGCUGAACCAGCCAAGUCGCGUGAAGGAAGAAGGAUCUAUGGUUUGUAAACUUCUUUUAUAGGGGAAUAAAGGUAUCCACGUGUGGAUAUUUGCAUGUACCCUAUGAAUAAGCAUCGGCUAAGUCCGUGCCAGCAGCCGCGGUAAUACGGAGGAUGCGAGCGUUAUCCGGAUUUAUUGGGUUUAAAGGGUGCGUAGGUUGUUUUUUAAGUCAGCGGUGAAAGUUUGUGGCUCAACCAUAAAAUUGCUGUUGAAACUGGGAGACUUGAGUGUGUGUGGGGUAGGCGGAAUGCGUGGUGUAGCGGUGAAAUGCAUAGAUAUCACGCAGAACUCCGAUUGCGAAGGCAGCUUACUAAGCCAUAACUGACACUGAAGCACGAAAGCGUGGGGAUCAAACAGGAUUAGAUACCCGGGUAGUC
rnacentral:rRNA from 1 species